UCGAGGAUCUUCGUCAAUGGGCGAAAGCCUGAACGAGCGACGCCGCGUGCGCGAUGAAGGCCUUCGGGUUGUAAAGCGCGAAAGGGUGAUUGAAAAGCCCGAAAGGGUUUGAUCGAUCUCCAGUAAGCUCGGGCUAAGUUCGUGCCAGCAGCCGCGGUAAGACGAACCGAGCGAACGUUGUUCGGAAUCACUGGGCUUAAAGGGCGCGUAGGCGGGCAUCCAAGUCCGUGGUGAAAUCCGGCAGCUUAACUGUCGAACUGCCGUGGAUACUGGGUGUCUCGAGGGAGGUAGGGGCGUGCGGAACUAUUGGUGGAGCGGUGAAAUGCGUUGAUAUCAAUAGGAACUCCGGUGGCGAAGGCGGCACGCUGGACCUCUUCUGACGCUGAGGCGCGAAAGCCAGGGGAGCAAACGG
rnacentral:rRNA from 1 species